GACGAACGCUGGCGGCGUGCUUAACACAUGCAAGUCGAACGGAAAGGCACUGCUUUUGUGGGGUGCUCGAGUGGCGAACGGGUGAGUAACACGCGAGUAACCUGCCCUUGACUUUGGGAUAACUUCAGGAAACUGGGGCUAAUACCUGAUAGGAGCUCCUGCUGCAUGGUGGGGGUGGGAAAGUUUCGGCGGUUGGGGAUGGACUCGCGGCUUAUCAGCUUGUUGGUGGGGUAGUGGCUUACCAAGGCUUUGACGGGUAGCCGGCCUGCGAGGGUGACCGGCCACAUUGGGACUGAGAUGCGGCCCAGACUCCUACGGGAGGCAGCAGUGGGGAAUAUUGCACAAUGGGCGGAAGCCUGAAGCAGCAACGCCGCGUGCGGGAUGACGGCCUUCGGGUUGUAAACCGCUUUCGCCUGUGACGAAGCGUGAGUGACGGUAAUGGGUAAAGAAGCACCGGCUAACUACGUG
rnacentral:rRNA from 1 species